rnacentral:rRNA from 1 species
UACGGAGGGUGCGAGCGUUGUCCGGAAUCACUGGGCGUAAAGGGCGCGUAGGCGGCCCUGGCAGUCGGUGGUGAAAGCCCGCGGCUCAACUCCGGAACUGCCAUUGAAACUGUUUAGCUUGAGGAUGAGAGAGGUGAGUGGAAUUCCCAGUGUAGAGGUGAAAUUCGUAGAUAUUGGGAAGAACACCGGUGGCGAAGGCGGCUCACUGGCUCAUUACUGACGCUCAGGCGCGAUAGCGUGGGGAUCAAACAGG